rnacentral:rRNA from 1 species
CCUGCUCACUGAUAAUAUUAAAGAGCCGCAGUAAUUUGACUGUGCAAAGGUAGCAUAAUAAUUAGGUUUUUAAUUAAGAUCUGGUAUGAAUGGUCGAACAAAGUAAGUACUGUCUCUGUUUUAAUAAUUGAAAUUAAUCUUUAAGUAAAAAAGCUUAAAUAAAUUAAAAAGACGACAAGACCCUAUAAAGUUUUAUGUUUUAAAUGUAUCAGUCUCAAUUUUAAAAUAAAAGAUUUUGAAUUUAUUACAUUUUGUUGGGGCGACAAGAGUUUAAUGAAAUUUAACUAUUCAAAUAUUAUACAACUAUAGUUGAACUAUAGAUCCUAUAUUAUAGAUUUAAAGAUUAAAUUACUUUAGGGAUAACAGCGUUAUUUUUUCAGAGAGUUCAUAUUGAAGAAAAAGAUUGCGACCUCGAUGUUGAAUUAAAUAUCUUUAUAAAGCAAAAAUUAUAAAAAGAAAGUCUGUUCGACUUUUAAAUAUUUACGUGAUCUGAGUUCACACCGGA